rnacentral:lncRNA from 1 species
AUACGUUAUUGUUUCUCCAGAGCACAUCGUUAUUACUUGUUGACAUUCUUGUUGCAAUGAAUUUUCAAUUUCGUAAGAAAACCAUGUAGUUCAUUCUUUGACCCAAACUAAAAUCUCAUGACAAUAUAAAAUCAUAACAUCGGUGAACCCUCAUAGAUAUCAGGUGCUCACAUAUAUAGAGUCAAAAGAUAUAUGGAGUCCAAAGGGGUUGGGGUUCUCUUCGGGGCUCGAGAGAUGAAAUAGAUAGGCCCCUACAAGUUUGAAGAAGAAUAUAUUCCAGGUAAAUUGUUCAUUUUUUUUGACAUAUUGUCGAACACCUUAGAGUCAUUAAUGUUUCAACCUGACCUUAAAGCUAUAAAAUAGGAAGAAAAUCAGACAUCUCCAGAAGAAACAGUGAAAAAUUAUUUGGGAAUUUUAGGACAAUUUGUGUUCUGCACAAAAGAAAUGUAUAGACCUAUUUAAUAACAAUUAAAAACUCUUGUAUUGAGCCAGGAUGAAAGCUACAAAAUGAAACCACACCUAAAACUUUGAAUAGCUGAUAGAAUGAAGAAUGAAGUAGAUGAGUACUUAAUUAAAAGUUCCCAAAGAUCUACACAUAUGCUAAGAAGAUUGUGAAUAUGGACAAACAUCAAUUAGCUAAUCUAAGGAUACACACCAAGGAAAUAAAAUAUAGCAGCCACAAAGGGGAGAAGCUUUUAUCGUAGGCACCUGAUGAAAAUAACAUACAUAUUUAAAUGUGGCAUAUUUUUAAAGGAGAUCUACACCACAGUCACACAACUUUUGCAACACUCCAAAGUUUUUUCAAAUUCUUAGGAUGAACAGAAAGCAAAUAGAAAGAUAUUUUACUGAUUCAUAUCGCGUUCAUCAG